rnacentral:rRNA from 1 species
UACAGAGACUGCAAGCGUUAUUCGGAUUCACUGGGCGUAAAGGGUGCGCAGGCGGCCAAGUGUGUCAGGUGUGAAAUCCCGAGGCUUAACCUCGGAACUGCGCCUGAAACUACUUGGCUAGAGUACUGGAGAGGGUAACGGAAUUCACGGUGUAGCAGUGAAAUGCGUAGAUAUCUGGAGGAACACCGGUGGCGAAGGCGGCAUCCUGGACCGGCAUUGACGCUGAGGCGCGAAAGCUAGGGGAGCAAACGGG